rnacentral:lncRNA from 1 species
UACAGCAUAUAAAAAUGGAGAAGGUUAUCUUGACAUGCUUCUUUCUUCUUGUGUGCGUCUCCGCAUUAGGUUCGAAACAACAUAUCUUCUAUCGUUUCCCAAAUCCAUGUAUCUAUUACAAGUAUACAAGAAUUGGGAUAUAUAUAUAAUAAGCAUGAUAUAAGUUUGGUCACUUUUUAUUUUAUUUUAUAUCAAAUGAUGUUAUAUUGUUUAUCAUUAUUAGGUUUCACAAGAUUUCCAUCGAAGCCAAAAGUCACCCGGUAUCCUCCGAGUGGGCCUUCAGGUCCUGGCUACCGAUGCCAAACCGAUGGUCAAUGCCAAAUGUACUGUUCGUGUGAUGUGAGUGAGCAACAUUGUAGUAAUAGUUAUUGUUAUUGUGGUGACACUCGUUGCUAAUACAAAUUAAG